ACCAGAACUGAAUCCUGGCCAGAUCCGAGACCCGCUGACAAACAAAGAAACCCUCCCCGCUCAGGAGCGAGGCGUCCACGGUCACCACAACCAGCCUUUAUCACCAGGAUGCGUUCAGGUAAAGUGGAGGUGCGUGGUGGUGAUGAUGUCAUCGCAGGGUUCCUCCUGGACAAACUGCAGGCUGACUGACUGAAAACGGCCUUUGAGCAAAGCACAUCCGUGCAUGACGGGAUGUGAACGGACGCCACGGAAGUAACAAGAAGUGAUCCGUGUCGUCCUUUCAUCUACUAAAGCAGGAGUGGAAUUAUACUCGUUCACUUCCCCCUUUAUGACUAACUUCCUAUUCUCAUAUUCGGUUCGAUUUACUGCGUCUAUUUAUGAUGAAGUGACAACUGAACUAUUUACAAAUGUAUGUGGAUGUUUGUUAUUUCCAAUCAAUGUCAUGUUUCAUUAUCCUUAAUUUGACACGUCUGACAUAAAUGAUCCCCCAACUCCACAGAUACAUUUUAGAUUAAAAAUGGGAUUAACAUGAUUUAGAAAAUGAAUGCGCUCAUUUGUAACUCAGCCAUUAAUGUGAAAAUGUGAGUCCAAUUGUUGUAAUAUCUACAGUUUAAAAUCAAUUCUGGAAAGAACAUUUCUAAGGAUGAACGGGGAAAAAUGUUCCAGAUAUUCAGGUGACAGAUCUGCUCCAACAUGUGAUUGUAAUCUAGAAUAAAGGCUCUGGUUUAACUGGUGACGUGGAACAAAAACAAACGACGACUUGGUUUGUAUCCUGGCUUUAUUGUAAGACUGCAAUACCCACAAAAAAAGAUCUGAGUGAUUCAGUGAGGAAGAGGAGACGAAGGUUUUCAUCGCCACACGGACGAGGACGGGUCCAAGAACACGUGUCAGAAUCUUUACAUGAAGUAUGGCAACACGAAGGGAAGCAGAGUGAACAACUGGUUCAGUGGUUUCUGUUUGGUUUUUUUUAAUUUGUGCCGACUUUUUUAAACGCAGAGAGAAAAAAACGACGCAGGAAAAACUCGUCUGUCACUAAAGCGGCGAGACGUGAAGAACCACCACGGCGCUGGAAAAAGACCCACGAGAUCCCAGACGGAUUCUGUCCCGUCAAAAUCAUUGGGCCGAUUUGUUCCCAAAGUUUCUUUAUAAAGAAAAUAAUGAAGGAAAAA